AUUGAACGCUGGCGGCAUGCUUUACACAUGCAAGUCGAACGGUAACAGGCCGCAAGGUGCUGACGAGUGGCGAACGGGUGAGUAAUGCAUCGGAACGUGCCCAGUCGCGGGGGAUAACUACUCGAAAGAGUAGCUAAUACCGCAUACGAUCUAUGGAUGAAAGCGGGGGACCGCAAGGCCUCGAGCGAUUGGAGCGGCCGAUGUCAGAUUAGGUAGUUGGUGGGGUAAAGGCUCACCAAGCCAACGAUCUGUAGCUGGUCUGAGAGGACGACCAGCCACACUGGGACUGAGACACGGCCCAGACUCCUACGGGAGGCAGCAGUGGGGAAUUUUGGACAAUGGGCGCAAGCCUGAUCCAGCAAUGCCGCGUGCAGGAAGAAGGCCUUCGGGUUGUAAACUGCUUUUGUACGGAACGAAACGGCUCUGGUUAAUACCCGGGGCUAAUGACGGUACCGUAAGAAUAAGCACCGGCUAACUACGUG
rnacentral:rRNA from 1 species